GAUGAACGCUGGCGGCGUGCCUAACACAUGCAAGUCGAACGGAGUCGUUUUGGAAAUCUCUUCGGAGAUGGAAUUCUCGACUUAGUGGCGGACGGGUGAGUAACGCGUGAGCAAUCUGCCUUUAAGAGGGGGAUAACAGUCGGAAACGGCUGCUAAUACCGCAUAAAGCAUUAAAUUCGCAUGUUUUUGAUGCCAAAGGAGCAAUCCGCUUUUAGAUGAGCUCGCGUCUGAUUAGCUAGUUGGCGGGGUAACGGCCCACCAAGGCGACGAUCAGUAGCCGGACUGAGAGGUUGAACGGCCACCUUGGGACUGAGACACGGCCCAGACUCCUACGGGAGGCAGCAGUGGGGAAUAUUGCGCAAUGGGGGAAACCCUGACGCAGCAACGCCGCGUGAUUGAAGAAGGCCUUCGGGUUGUAAAGAUCUUUAAUCAGGGACGAAACAAAUGACGGUACCUGAAGAAUAAGCUCCGGCUAACUACGUG
rnacentral:rRNA from 1 species